rnacentral:rRNA from 1 species
GACGAACGCUGGCGGCGUGCCUAAUACAUGCAAGUAGAACGCACAGUUUAUACCUUAGCUUGCUACACCAUAGACUGUGAGUUGCGAACGGGUGAGUAACGCGUAGGUAACCUGCCUGGUAGCGGGGGAUAACUAUUGGAAACGAUAGCUAAUACCGCAUAAUAUUAAUUAUUGCAUGAUAAUUGAUUGAAAGAUGCAACUGCAUCACUACCAGAUGGACCUGCGUUGUAUUAGCUAGUAGGUGAGGUAACGGCUCACCUAGGCGACGAUACAUAGCCGACCUGAGAGGGUGAUCGGCCACACUGGGACUGAGACACGGCCCAGACGCCUACGGGAGGCAGCAGGAGGGAAUCGUCGGCAAUGGACGAAAGUCUGACCGAGCAACGCCGCGGGAGUGAAGAAGGGUGUCGGAUCGUAAAGCUCGGUUGUAAGAGAAGAACGGGUGUGAGAGUGGAAAGUUCACACUGUGACGGUAGCUGACCAGAAAGGGACGGCUAACUACGUG